GACGAACGCUGGCGGCGUGCCUAAUACAUGCAAGUCGAACGCAGUGGGGACGGGUGAGUAACACGUGGGUAACCUCCCAUCAGAGGGGAUAACACUUGGAAACAGGUGCUAAACCGAUACUGAUGGAUGGACCCGCGGUGCAUUAGCUAGUGGGUGAGGUAACGGCUCACCAAGGCCACGAGGCAUAGCCGACCUGGGAGGGGGAUCGGCCACACGGGGACGGAGACACGGCCCAUACUCCUAAGGGAGGGAGCAGUAGGGAAUGUUAGGCAAUGGACGAAAGUCUGACCGAGUAACGCCGCGUUAGUGACGACGGUUUGCGGUUCGUAAAACUGGGUUGUUAGAGAAGCGGUAUCUAACCAGAAAGCACCGGCUAACUACGUGCCAGCAGCCGCGGUAAUAC
rnacentral:rRNA from 1 species